AUGAAGGGGAACAGCAGUCGCGCCAGGCGGCAUGCCUCGUCCGAGCCGCAUGGUGGCCGACACAUCGGCGCUUUCAUGGUCGGUCCUGGGCGGUGCCUUGUCAGCGUCGUGGAUGGCUUGGGCAGCGCCUUGGCAUCCAAGAGGGGCGAAGUGGGCCGGCCAGCAUGCGUGGGGCGCAAAGGCCACGAGCAGGAAGGAGAUGCGCUGGAGGUGAUGGAGGAGGAAGUUGGAGGUGGCAUCAGCGUCCAUGGCGACGCCGCCACGGGACCCCCCUGCACACCUCAGCGUCCAUGGCAACGCCGCCAUGGGAACCCCCCUGCACACCUCGGCAUGCCUCGUCUGUGCCACAUGGUGGCCGAGAUGCGGCCGCCCAUGCUCUGCCGGCGCCGUCUCAUCCUCUUCAUCAAGAGGAGGCAUCUCUGCCGGACCACGCCUCCCCAGCCACCUCCUGGAUGA
rnacentral:rRNA from 1 species